CCUACGGGAGGCAGCAGUGGGGAAUGUUGCGCAAUGAUCGUAAGAGUGACGCAGCGACGCCGCGUGAAUGACGAAGGCCUUCGGGUCGUAAAGUUCUGUCGACAGGGAAGAAAAUGCCGAUAAGUAACUGUGUAUGUAUUGACGGUACCUGUAGAAGCAGCCCCGGCUAACUCCGUGCCAGCAGCCGCGGUAAUACGGAGGGGGCGAGCGUUGUUCGGAGGGACUGGGAGUAAAGAGCACGUAGGCGGUGUUGUAAGUCAUGAGUCAAAGACUAGAGCUCAACUUUAGUAAGGCUAGUGAUUCUCUAAUACUAGAGUAUCGGAGAGGCUUGCCGAAUUCCUGGUGUAGCGGUGA
rnacentral:rRNA from 1 species